rnacentral:rRNA from 1 species
UACGGGUGGCAGCAGUGAGGAAUAUUGAUCAAUGGACGAGAGUCUGAACCAGCCAAGUAGCGUGAAGGAUGACUGCCCUAUGGGUUGUAAACUUCUUUUAUAUGGGAAUAAAAUGUUCCACGUGUGGGAUUUUGUAUGUACCAUAUGAAUAAGGAUCGGCUAACUCCGUGCCAGCAGCCGCGGUAAUACGGAGGAUCCGAGCGUUAUCCGGAUUUAUUGGGUUUAAAGGGAGCGUAGGUGGAUUGUUAAGUCAGUUGUGAAAGUUUGCGGCUCAACCGUAAAAUUGCAGUUGAAACUGGCAGUCUGGAGUACAGUAGAGGUGGGCGGAAUUCGUGGUGUAGCGGUGAAAUGGUUAGAUAUCACGAAGAACUCCGAUUGCGAAGGCAGCUCACUGGACUGCAACUGACACUGAGGCUCGAAAGUGUGGGUAUCAAACAGGAUUAGAUACCCCUGUAGUC